GAUACCCUGGUAGUCCGCGCGGUAAACGAUGGAUGCCCGCUGUCGGCGAUAUACAGUCGGCGGCCAAGCGAAAGCGUUAAGCAUCCCACCUGGGGAGUACGCCGGCAACGGUGAAACUCAAAGGAAUUGACGGGGGCCCGCACAAGCGGAGGAACAUGUGGUUUAAUUCGAUGAUACGCGAGGAACCUUACCCGGGCUUGAAUUGCAGAGGAAAGAUCCAGAGAUGGUGAUGCCCUUCGGGGUCUCUGUGAAGGUGCUGCAUGGUUGUCGUCAGCUCGUGCCGUGAGGUGUCGGCUUAAGUGCCAUAACGAGCGCAACCCCUUUCCCUAGUUGCCAUCGGUUUUGGCCGGGCACUCUGGGGACACUGCCUCCGCAAGGAGUGAGGAAGGUGGGGAUGACGUCAAAUCAGCACGGCCCUUACGUCCGGGGCUACACACGUGUUACAAUGGGUGAUACAGAGGGCCGGCCGCUGGCAACAUCGGUCCAAUCCUUAAAGUCAUCCUCAGUUCGGACUGGGGUCUGCAACCCGACCCCACGAAACUGGAUUCGCUAGUAAUCGCGCAUCAGCCAUGGCGCGGUGAAUACGUUCCCGGGCCUUGUACACACCGCCCGUCGAGCCAUGAAAGCCGGGGGCGCCUGAAGUCCGUGACCGCGAGGGUCGGCCUAGGGUGAAACCGGUGAUUGGGGCUAAGUCGCAACAAGGUAGCCGUACCGGAAGGUGCGGUUGGAUCACCUC
rnacentral:rRNA from 1 species